UNUGUACUCCCUCCGUCCGAAAAUACUUGUCAUUGAAAUGGAUGUAUCUAGAUGUAUUUUAGUUCUAGACACAUCCAUUUUGAUGACAAGUAAUUCCGGACGGAGGGAGUACUUG
rnacentral:pre_miRNA from 1 species